AGAGUUUGAUUAUGGCUCAGGACGAACGCUGGCGGCGUGCCUAAUACAUGCAAGUCGAGCGGACAGAUGGGAGCUUGCUCCCUGAUGUUAGCGGCGGACGGGUGAGUAACACGUGGGUAACCUGCCUGUAAGACUGGGAUAACUCCGGGAAACCGGGGCUAAUACCGGAUGGUUGUUUGAACCGCAUGGUUCAAACAUAAAAGGUGGCUUCGGCUACCACUUACAGAUGGACCCGCGGCGCAUUAGCUAGUUGGUGAGGUAACGGCUCACCAAGGCAACGAUGCGUAGCCGACCUGAGAGGGUGAUCGGCCACACUGGGACUGAGACACGGCCCAGACUCCUACGGGAGGCAGCAGUAGGGAAUCUUCCGCAAUGGACGAAAGUCUGACGGAGCAACGCCGCGUGAGUGAUGAAGGUUUUCGGAUCGUAAAGCUCUGUUGUUAGGGAAGAACAAGUACCGUUCGAAUAGGGCGGUACCUUGACGGUACCUAACCAGAAAGCCACGGCUAACUACGUGCCAGCAGCCGCGGUAAUACGUAGGUGGCAAGCGUUGUCCGGAAUUAUUGGGCGUAAAGGGCUCGCAGGCGGUUUCUUAAGUCUGAUGUGAAAGCCCCCGGCUCAACCGGGGAGGGUCAUUGGAAACUGGGGAACUUGAGUGCAGAAGAGGAGAGUGGAAUUCCACGUGUAGCGGUGAAAUGCGUAGAGAUGUGGAGGAACACCAGUGGCGAAGGCGACUCUCUGGUCUGUAACUGACGCUGAGGAGCGAA
rnacentral:rRNA from 1 species